rnacentral:RNase_P_RNA from 3 species
UGGGUCGGCCGGACGGCCGCGUCGCGGGCGGUCCGCCGCCGCGCGCCGAGGAACGUCCGGGCUCCACAGGGCAGGGCGGUGGGUAACACCCACCCGGAGUGAUCCGCGAGACAGUGCCACAGAAAGCAGACCGCCAGGACCUCGUCCUGGUAAGGGUGAAACGGCGGUGUAAGAGACCACCAGGGGUCGCGGUGACGCGAUCCGCUCGGUAAACCUCGCCCGGAGCAAGACCAGACAGAGGAUGUUGACGCGGCCCGCCGAGUCCUCGGGUAGGUCGCUGGAGCGUCACGGCAACGUGUCGCCGAGAGAGAUGGCCGUCAAGGGGGCGCGAGCCCCUGAACAGAACCCGGCGUACAGGCCGGCCCAUUCG